GGAUCAAUGAUGACAACUUUCAUAUGCAUUCCUUGGAAAAUCUGAACAAAAUGAGUGAGAACUCACUACCAUCUCAUCGACACUGAGCUCU